GUUGGAUGUUUUGAGUGUAUUUUGAACGCUUUCAUACAAUGCCAUUAAAUAAAAAAAAUUGUGCACUACAAUUACAAAAUGUUAACUUGAGUUAGCAUGAUGAACUCUGACCUCGCUAAUUUGAACAUGUUAAACAGGAUAAAUAAGGAGACAUGGAGCUCUAGCUUCUCUGUUCUUUUCACUGGGCUUCUUCCGACUGUCACUGACCAACGUAUGAAGAGAGGCGCGCACCUGCAGCAGUAACACUCUGAAUGGAUGGCUCAGAAAUUAGUGAUUGAUUUAGCCUGAGAAUAAUAAAUGACCUUUUCACAGAAUUGGCAUUUCCAUGUGUAAACAUGUUAACACCACCUUUUUCACAUGUGAGGAGUAUAGCACUAUUUCACCACCACAUGUGAACUUGCAAUUCCACAUGUGAAAGAUAGAUUUUUCACGAGGAGUUUUCUGCAAAUGUGAUUUUUACAUGAUUGUUUUCUACAUGUGAAAAUGCAAUUCCAUAUGUGAAAGUGAAAUUUUCACGUGACGUUUUCUUACGUGAGAGUUUUUAACAUGUGAAACCGUACAAUUCACGUGAGGUGAAAACACGUUUUUCUUCUUACAUGUGAAAAGGUGGUGUUAACUCCACAUUUAAUACAGAUGAAAAUAUGGUUUCACAUUUGAAAUGUAAGCUCAAAAUUGUGAAAAUACGAUUUUCACAUGUCAAACUACAAAUUUGACGUGUUUAUUUUGUAAGGGCAGACAGGCCUUCAGCUAAAACAGAGGAAGGAGAGGGUAGGGCAGGGGUGGGGAGGGGAGAGAGAAAGUGUUACGUCCGUUGUCGGAAUGAGACCAAGGUGCAGCGUGGUAAGCGUACAUUUUUCUAUUAUUAGAUGAACACCAACAAAACACAAAACCGAAUGUAACGUUCUGCAGGCUUCACAGCAGCUAUACAAAAACAAGAUCCCACAAUCACAGGUGGGAAAAAGGGCUGCCUAAGUAUGAUCCCCAAUCAGAGACAACGAUAAACAGCUGCCUCUGAUUGGGAACCAUACUAGGCCAACAAAGAAAUAUAAACAUAGAUUUGCCCACCCAAGUCACACCCUGACCUAACAAAAUAGAGAAUAAAAAAGGCUCUCUAAGGUCAGGGCGUGACAGAAAGCCAUCGUUAUUUUCCCUGUUGUACACCAGAAAUUACAGUGGGGAGACAGAGAUUCUGUGCAGCUAUGAUCAUAUGUAGAGAGUACCACAGAAAGAAUCAGCUCAGCCUCACAGUCCCAACCCUCAACUCUUCCAUUUGCUUGUUGUUUCAUAACAUCAAGUACGUACAGAGAUCCAAUGACUUGGUGGUAAAUGUUGACCCUACAUGCUCAUGCCGUUGGUGAGAAUGACAAUGACAGAACUGAUGUGGAAUACACCACAGGAGGUUGGUGGCAUCUUCAUUUGGGAGGACGCGCUCGUGGUAAUAACUGGAGCGGAAUUGUAUCAAAUACAUCAAACACAUGGUUUGCUCCGUUCCAGCCAUUAUUAUAAGCAGUCCUCUCCUCAGCAGCCUCCACUGGAAUACACCAAGGGCAAUCUGAGUUUUCCAAGGAGGGGAGAAGGGGAGUGGUAAAAUGAUCUAUAGAUUAUAAUUUAUUAUCCAUUAGUGACGUUUGAUUGGAUAUGCAGACCAUUACACUUAAUGUAUUUGCUGAGGAUGAUGUAGGCUAACCUCAAUGCUUUGGGUUCACACUCCAGGUACUUCUGUAUUUACUGAGGAUGAUGUAGGCUAACCUCAAUGCUUUGGGUUCACCCUCCAGGUACUUCUGUAUUUACUGAGGAUGAUGUAGGCUAACCUCAAUGCUUUGGGUUCACAUACCCCAAGAGACUUGCAGCUGCAAUUGCUGCAAAAGGUGGCUCUACAAAGUAUUGACUUUUGGGGAGGGUGAAUAGUUAUGCAUGCUCAAGUUUUCCGGGUUUUUUUGUCUUAUUUCUUGUUUAUUUCACAAUAAAAAUUAUUUUGCAUCUUCAAAGUGGUAGACAUGUUGUGUAAAUCAAAAGAUACAAACCCCCAAAAAUCUAAUUUUAAUUCCAGGUUGUAAGGCAACAAAAUAUGAAAAAUGCCAAGGGGUGUGAAUAUUUUCGCAAGCCACUGUAGGUCCUGGAUUGCAGGAAACUUGGCCCAAGUGACGUAUUGGGCAGUACGCACAACCCUCUGUAGCACCUUGCGGUCGGAUGCCGAGCAGUUGCCAUACCAGGCGGUGAUCCUAUUUCAAUACAACCAGAUUGACCUCCACUCCUCCCCCACCCACUCUCUCCUCCCCUACUACUCCCUCUUCCCCCACUCCUCCCCCUAAACUGUUACAUUUCCUCAGUACAUGACAGGAAAUUCUAAACUGAUGGUUUUGACUCCCACACGGUUGAGUGACCCUGUAUAUACAGCAGCUUACAGUGUCUUUGAAAAGUAUUCAGACCCCUUGACUUUUUCCACAUUUUGUUACGUUACAGCCUUAUUCUAAAAUUGAGUAAUGUUUUUUUUUUUUUUCUUUCAGGGCUUCCCGAGUGGCGCAGUGGUCUAAGGCACUGCAUCGUAGUGCUAGGUGUGCCACUAGAGAACCUGGUUUGAGUCCAGGCUCUGUCGCAGCCGCCCGCGACCGGGAGACCCGUAGGGCGGCGCACAAUUGGCCCAGUGUUGUCCGGGUUAGGGGAGGGUUUGGCCGGCCGGGAUGUUACUGUCGCAUCGUGCACUAGCGACUCCUGUGGCGGGCUGGGCGCAAUGCACGCUGACAUGGUCGCCAGGUGUUUCCUCCGGCUGGCUUCUGAGUCAAGCUGGCACUGUGUCAAGAAGCAGUCAGGGAUGCAAACUGCUGAGGGCCCAAAAAGGUUCAGCACAUUAAACGAACAACACACUUCGGCACAGGACAGUGGCCCCCAAGUGGUCAACAAUGGAAUGACAUGAUCCCCUAAAGGAACUCAAACCCAACUACAGGGGCCAGAACAGUAUUUGUUUAUUAUAUCUAAUACAUUUGCUAAAAUGUAAAAAAAAAAAUGUUUUUGCUUUAUCAUUAUGGGGUAUUGUGUGCAGAUUGCUGAGGAUUUUUAUUUAUUUAAUCAAAUUUAGAAUAAGGCUAUAACGUAACAAAAUGUGGAAAGAGUCAAGGGGUCUGAAUACUUUCCG
rnacentral:lncRNA from 1 species